rnacentral:rRNA from 1 species
CGCUUAGAUGGUCUGGGCGGCACGCGCGCUACAAUGAUGCAUUCAGAAAGUCUUCUGACCUUAGAAGGUUGGGUAUUCUCCAAAGUGCAUCGUGAUGGGAAUAGUUUAUUGCAAUUUUUAAUCUUGAACGAGGAAUUUCUAGUAAAUACAGGUCAUCAACUUGUGUUGAUUACGUCCCUGCCCUUUGUACACACCGCCCGUCGCUCCUACCGAUUGAAUGUUCCGGUGAGCUCUUCGGACUGCGCGGUCUGCAGUUUCUGCGUUCCGUGCGGAAAGUUGCGCAAACCUUAACAUUUAGAGGAAGGAGAAGUCGUAACA